rnacentral:rRNA from 1 species
ACACCGGCAGCCCAAGUGGCGGCCAUUUUUAUUGGGCCUAAAGCGGUCGGAGCCGGCCUGAUAAGUCACUGGUGAAAUCCCGCAGCUUAACUGGGGGAAUUGGUGGAGAUACUAUCAGGCUUGAGGUCGGGAGAGGUUAGAGGAACUACCAGGGAAGGGGUGAAAUCCUAUAUUCCUGGGAGGACCACCUGUGGCGAAGGCGUCUAACUGGAACGAACCUGACGGUGAGUAACGAAAGCCAGGGGCGCGAACCGGAUUAGAUACCCGGGUAGUCCUGGCCGUAAACGAUGUGGACUUGGUGUUGGGAUGGCUUCGAGCUGCCCCAGUGCCGAAGGGAAGCUGUUAAGUCCACCGCCUGGGAAGUACGGCCGCAAGGCUGAAACUUAAAGGAAUUGGCGGGG